rnacentral:tRNA from 1 species
GCGCCCAUGGCCGAAUGGUUAUCGUGUUUGCCUCCCACGCAAAAAGCCGAGGUUCGAUGCCUAGUAGCGCA